UCCCAACUCAUCCGCUGCUGACUGCCCUCCCCUGCCCAAGCUUUCUUCCCAGGGCUGGUUCAGGAUUCUGUUGAGCAUGGUUGAGUGUGGUGACAUAUCCCUGGGCUUCAAGAGGCCAGUCCUGGACAGGAGAGCACAAACAACUCCUGCAAGCUGGAAAGCCUUUCCCAGUAAUUCCCAAACACAGAAAUAUGUGCCUGCAAUGUGGCACUUUUUAGAAUGGCAUCCACUCAGAUGGUGGAGGAUCCAUCACAGCCCGGGCCCUCCCUGCUCCAAGGGCCCAUUUGUUUCCCCUUAUCACAGUCUCAUUAUUUGGUAAAGGAAAAUCUCGGACUUUCUUGGGACCAGUGGCUGUGGUUU